UCCUUGGAGGACCCUAGUGGUUAGGCCUUGGUGCUGUCACCACGGCGGCCCGGGUUCGAUUCCCAGCCAGAGGA